rnacentral:rRNA from 1 species
CCCUCGGGGUCCGAGUUGUAAUUUGCAGAGGAAGUUUCGGCGUCGGCCCCGGGUCAAGUCCCCUGGAACGGGGCGCCCUAGAGGGUGAGAGCCCCGUACCCGCCCGGGCGCGCUUCGCCGUGUGAAGCUCCUUCGACGAGUCGAGUUGUUUGGGAAUGCAGCUCUAAGUGGGAGGUAUAUUUCUUCUAAAGCUAAAUACCGGCCAGAGACCGAUAGCGCACAAGUAGAGUGAUCGAAAGAUGAAAAGCACUUUGGAAAGAGAGUUAAAAAGCACGUGAAAUUGUUGAAAGGGAAGCUCUUGCCGCCAGACUUGCCGCGGUCGCUCAGCCGCCCCCCGGGGCGGUGUACUCUUCCGUCGGCAGGCCAGCGUCGGUUCGGGCGGCCGGAUAAAGGCCUCGGGAAUGUAGCAUCCUCCGGGGUGUGUUAUAGCCCGGGGAGCCAUGCGGUCAGCCCGGUCCGAGGCACGCGU